rnacentral:rRNA from 1 species
AUGGACAUGACGGUUGCAUACUUUGGAAGGCGGCAAGAUGAGAAUCCUGAAUUCUACUAUGCAAAAACAGCUCAUGAGGAAACAAACUCUGUUACAUGACUGUUUUGGGUUGAUGGGAGGACAAGGGCAUUGUACCAUAAGUACAGAGAUUGUAUUUUCUUUGCCACCACCUUUUGCACAAAUAGGUACAAUAUGCCAUUUGCUCCAAUUGUUGUCGUCAACAAACAUUUGCAGACAAUUUUGCUGGGGUGUGCUCUGCUUCUGAAUGAAAAUAUUGAAACCUUCAAGUGGGUCUUCGAGAACUUUUUGAUCAUGAUGAACAAUGAACACCCAUUAAACAUCAUGACAGACCAAGACAAGGCAAUGGAAUCAGCCAUUUCUGAAGCAUUACCAAAUACAGUGCAUAUGUGUUGCAAAUGGCAUGUCCAGCGGAAAGCGAGAGAGAAGUUGGGCAGAAUACUGAGCAGAGAUGAAGUUUUUGAGCAAGCUUUCUACACAUGCAUCAACGAUCCAGAAACAGUUGAUGAGUCUAAGGAGAAUUGGCAGCACAUGAUACAUUGCUUCGAAUUAGAAGAUAAUACACACCUUUGCAACAUGUGGCAAACCCGGCAUACCUGGGCUCCAGCAUACUUCUGGAAAUGCUUCUUUCCAUUCACGAGCACUACGGGGAGGUUAGAGGGCCUCAACUCUUACUUCAAGACAUUCAUCAAUCCUCAAGAGUCGGUUUGGAAAUUUUUGCAGUAG